AGCAGCCGCGGUAAUUCCAGCUCCAAUAGCGUAUAUUAAAGUUGUUGCAGUUAAAAAGCUCGUAGUUGAAUUUCGGGAUUGACACAUCGGUCGUGCCUUAAGGGGUAUGAACUGGUGUAGUCAAUUUCUCACCUUCUGGAGAACCGCGAUGCCCUUAAUUGGGUGUCACGGGGAACCAGGACCUUUACUUUGAAAAAAUUAGAGUGUUUAAAGCAGGCAUUUUGCUUGAAUACAUUAGCAUGGAAUAAUAAAAUAGGACGGCAUGAUUCUAUUUUGUUGGUUUCCAGGAUCACCGUAAUGAUUAAUAGGGAUAGUUGGGGGCAUUAGUAUUCAAUUGUCAGAGGUGAAAUUCUUGGAUUUAUUGAAGACUAACUACUGCGAAAGCAUUUGCCAAGGAUGUUUUCAUUAAUCAAGAACGAAAGUUAGGGGAUCGAAGACGAUCAGAUACCG
rnacentral:rRNA from 1 species